rnacentral:rRNA from 1 species
CUGCAUGGCCGUCGUCAGCUCGUGACGUGAGAUGUUUGGUUAAGUCCAGCAACGAGCGCAACCCCUGUUGCCAGUUACCAGCACGUGAAGGUGGGGACUCUGGCGAGACUGCCCAGAUCAACUGGGAGGAAGGUGGGGACGACGUCAGGUCAGUAUGGCCCUUAUGCCCAGGGCUGCACACGUACUACAAUGCCCAGUACAGAGGGGGCCGAAGCCGCGAGGCGGAGGAAAUCCUAAAAACUGGGCCCAGUUCGGACUGUAGGCUGCAACCCGCCUACACGAAGCCGGAAUCGCUAGUAAUGGCGCAUCAGCUACGGCGCCGUGAAUACGUUCCCGGGUCUUGUACACACCGCCCGUCACAUCAUGGAAGCCGGUCGCACCCGAAGUAUCUGAAGCCAACCGCAAGGAGGCAGGGUCCUAAGGUGAGACUGGUAACUGGGAUGAAGUCGUAACAAGGUAGCCGUAGGGGAACCUGCGGUUGGAUCACCUC